GCAAUGGGGGCAACCCUGACGCAGCAACGCCGCGUGAGUGAUGAAGGUUUUCGGAUCGUAAAGCUCUGUCAAGAGGGAAGAAACCCCGAUCGGCCAAUACCCGAUCGGAUUGACGGUACCUCUAAAGGAAGCACCGGCUAACUCCGUGCCAGCAGCCGCGGUAAUACGGAGGGUGCGAGCGUUGUUCGGAAUUAUUGGGCGUAAAGCGCGUGCAGGCGGUUUGUUAAGUCUGAUGUGAAAGCCCCGGGCUCAACCUGGGAAGUGCAUUGGAAACUGGCUGACUUGAGUACGGGAGAGGGAAGUGGAAUUUCGAGUGUAGGGGUGAAAUCCGUAGAUAUUNGAAGGAACACCAGUGGCGAAGGCGGCUUCCUGGACCGAUACUGACGCUGAGACGCGAAAGCGUGGGGAGCGAACANGAUUAGAUACCCUGGUAGUCCACGCCGUAAACGCUGGGUACUAGGUGUUGCG
rnacentral:rRNA from 1 species